rnacentral:rRNA from 1 species
CAAUAGCGUAUAUUAAAGCUGUUGCGGUUAAAAAGCUCGUAGUUGGAUUUCUGUCAAGGACAACUGGUCCGCCCUCCGGGUGAGCACAUAGUUUGGUCUUGACAUCUUGCUGGAAGCUGUUGCUGCACUUAGCUGUGUGGCGCAGUGUUCAGCACUUUCACUUUGAGGAAAUUGGAGUGUUUCAAGCAGGCACAUGCCUUUGGACACAGUAGCAUGGAAUAAUUAGAUUGGGCUUUUGCUCCAAUUUGUCGGUUUCUGGAGCUGAGGUGAGUAUUAAUGGGGAUUGUUGGGGGCAUCCGAAUUUAGCCGUCAGAGGUGAAAUUCUUGGAUCUGCUAAAGACGGACAACUGCGAAAGCGUUUGCCCAGGAUGUUUUCAUUGA